rnacentral:rRNA from 1 species
GUGGGAUUACCCGCUGAACUUAAGCAUAUCAAUAAGCGGAGGAAAAGAAACUAACAAGGAUUCCCCUAGUAACGGCGAGUGAAGAGGGAAAAGCCCAAAUUUGUAAUCUGGCUCUUUUAGAGUCCGAGUUGUAAUUUUGAGAACUGUUUUCAGUGCUGGACCAUGUUUAAGUCUGUUGAAAAACAGCAUCAUUGAGGGUGAUAAUCCCGUUCAUGAUAUGGACUACCAGUACUUUAUGAUACAGUCUCUAAGAGUCGAGUUGUUUGGGAAUGCAGCUCAAAGUGGGUGGUAAAUUCCAUCUAAGGCUAAAUAUAGGUGAGAGACCGAUAGCAAACAAGUACCGUGAGGGAAAGAUGAAAAGAACUUUGGAAAGAGAGUUAACAGUACGUGAAAUUGCUGAAAGGGAAACAAUUGAAGUUAGCCUUGUUAUUGUCAGUUCAGCUCUUUUAGAGUGUAUUCUGAUGAUUAACGACCAACAUCAGUCUUUGAGUGCUGGAUAAGGGUUUUGGAAAUGUAGCAGUCUCGGCUGUGUUAUAGUCCAUUACUUUGAUACAGUGCUUGGGAUUGAGGAUCGCAGUAAGCCAUUUUAUGGUGGACCAAAUUUUUGGUCUUCUUACUGAGGAUGUUGGUGAAAU